CCUACGGGAGGCAGCAGUGGGGAAUUUUGGACAAUGGGCGCAAGCCUGAUCCAGCCAUGCCGCGUGCGGGAAGAAGGCCUUCGGGUUGUAAACCGCUUUUGUCAGGGAAGAAAAGGUUCUGGUUAAUACCUGGGACUCAUGACGGUACCUGAAGAAUAAGCACCGGCUAACUACGUGCCAGCAGCCGCGGUAAUACGUAGGGUGCAAGCGUUAAUCGGAAUUACUGGGCGUAAAGCGUGCGCAGGCGGUUAUGCAAGACAGAGGUGAAAUCCCCGGGCUCAACCUGGGAACUGCCUUUGUGACUGCAUAGCUAGAGUGCGGCAGAGGGGGAUGGAAUUCCGCGUGUAGCAGUGAAAUGCGUAGAUAUGCGGAGGAACACCGAUGGCGAAGGCAAUCCCCUGGGCCUGCACUGACGCUCAUGCACGAAAGCGUGGGGAGCAAACAGGAUUAGAUACCCUGGUAGUCCACGCCCUAAACGAUGUCAACUGGUUGUUGGGAGGGUUUCUUCUCAGUAACGUAGCUAACGCGUGAAGUUGACCGCCUGGGGAGUCGGCCGCAAGGUUGAAACUUAAAUGAAUUGACGGCUGAGAGNGCGAGACGACGACGAGGGAGGAGG
rnacentral:rRNA from 1 species